rnacentral:lncRNA from 1 species
AUCUACAGGUCGAGCAAGUCUCGUAAAUUUCACGAUUGCGAGCCACGCUUCACGCAACCGUGUUUGCGUAUUUGUGUUUCGAGUUGCGUGGUCGUGCGGAGUUAUAUUUACCAAAUUUAAAUCCGUUCCAACUUGCUGUCAAAAUUAAAUCAAUAUGUCAAUAUGGCUACUGGGUGUAAAAGAUAAAUCUUAUUCUGUCUGUUCUUAAUGAGUUUUAGAUAAUUUUAGUUGUAUUUCUUUGUAAUUUUGUGUUGUACAAAGAUUAAUUUAACAUUUUCUCUGGAAGUAUUAAUUUAGAAAGAUAAUAUGCUUCAUUGGUGUUGUGUUUUGAAGUGUGAAAUGCAAAGUAAUUGUGAUAAAGUCAAGAUAAAGUUCACUUUUAAACUGAACUAAAUAAGGUAUCUGAGAGACAACAAUGGUUAAAUGCAAUACAAUGUACAGGUUUUACUAGCGAAAUGAAAAUUUUCCUGUCCUGUCUGCUGUAAUCAUUUUAUAUCUGGUAAGUUACAAUUACAACAGUAACGAUUUUUGAAGAUGUUAACAUUUUAAUCUUGUAGGAAAACCAGCCGACUUAAUCGAUAAUAACAAUCUCCAGAUUGGGUUCCUUCAAUAAAUAUGGGCUAUAAACACAAUGAAAUUAGUUCCCCAAAAUCUAAAAUGGAGUGGUAUCAAAGGAGAAUUAAAGAAAAAAAUAUUCAUAUUGAAAUUAUUUAUAAGGCACUGGACUGUCUUAAAUUCUACAAUAAUACUAGAAUCAGCUGAGAGAAGUGGUCUACAAAAAACCAGGAAGGAAACGGAAUAUGUGGCUACGAAAGGCAAAAGAAAGGUUUACAAAGCAAAUGUGACACAUUUUUUUGAAAUAUUUAGGAAUAUCAGUAAAUUGCAUUAAAAAAAUGUAUGAAAAGAUUUUGUUCAAUAAAAAUGUUUAUAUUUA